ACGUAGGGUGCAAGCGUUGUCCGGAAUUAUUGGGCGUAAAGAGCUCGUAGGUCGUUUGUUACGUCGGAUGUGAAAACCUGAGGCUCAACCUCAGGCCUGCAUUCGAUACGGGCAAACUAGAGUUUGGUAGGGGAGACUGGAAUUCCUGGUGUAGCGGUGGAAUGCGCAGAUAUCAGGAGGAACACCGAUGGCGAAGGCAGGUCUCUGGGCCAAUACUGACACUGAGGAGCGAAAGCGUGGGGAGCGAACAGGAUUAGAUACCCUGGUAGUCCACGCCCUAAACGAUGUCAACUGGUUGUUGGGUCUUAACUGACUCAGUAACGAAGCUAACGCGUGAAGUUGACCGCCUGGGGAGUACGGCCGCAAGGUUG
rnacentral:rRNA from 1 species